AUCAACCUUCUGUUCUGUUAAACCUGGGAAGAAAGAGGUUUCAAAGAGUUCUUCCUCUUUAUGAGCCUUCUUACAGCCAAAUCCACUGCAGGUGGUGAAGGUAGGGGAAAAUAGGCAUUGACUUGUGCAUCUGGAUGCUGGGGAUGGACCACUGACAAGUGUUUUCAUUGAUCUGAAAUUAGCAAGACCACAGGCCAGAGUUGUCUCAAAUCCUCAUGUAUAUAUGAAUCACCAGGGCAUCUUGUUAAGAUGCUGCAGGUUUAGGGAGGGGCAGAGAGUGUGCCUUUCUAACAAGCUUCCAGGUGAUAUUGAGAUCUUGAUGCAGCUGGUUCUCAGACCGUGCUUUGAGAAGCGAGGCUACGCUUACCUGGCAGUUUGCUUUUUGGAGAUUUAUCCCGAGGGAACAUGGAUAAUAAAAGCCGUAUUGGGUCAAGAAGUUUUCAUCUAAGAAGGAGGAUUGUGCAAUAGAAAGAGGACUAACGAGGAGCAGGAAAACCAGGGCUGAAUUCCAAGUUAUGCAACAAGCUAACUGAGUGCAUUUGGAUAAGCUAUAGCCUCUCUGAGCUACAAGGAGGAGGUUAAGCUGUGUUGAACAUGUAUCCAGAGCACAAACAGAAACACCCAUUUGGAAAUGUCUGGAUUUGAUGAUGUCCAAGGUCCCUUCUUAACACGGAUAUCCUGUGAUCUCAGUGACAAGCAUAAAGAGGGAAAGAGGAAUACUCCAGUGUUCCUGAGAUGAAUCGAGACAGCAAACAGGAAACCAUCUUUGAAAAGCAAGAAGAAGCACCAAAGGUGAAAGAACAGAGAGGAGGGAAUGACUUACAACAGAACCAACAUGUGGCUGCUGCUGCUGCUGGUCAUCUCUAACUGACCACUUUACUGUCAGUGCCAAGCAUUGUGUCAAGCGCUGGAUCAAUAUUAUCUCACUUAAUUGUCAUCCCCGUUCUGUGAGGACAAGGAGGACAAACCAAUGUACUGUAGCUGAAAGAAACAAUUGUCAGAGGCGUGUCAUGACUGGAGAGAAUUUGAAGGGAGAGGAGGAGAGACUGCAGCUGCAGGAUGUCUGAAACCUGCAUUCAAAGGCACUGUGCUAGAGCCACAGGGAGCAAGUGCUGACUUGGUUACGCUAUCACUUCCAGGAAUCCAGCCCCCAUCCCCCAAAGUUUAUACGUGGGACGCCUACCACAGCAUGGCUGCCAAGCAGUGCCAUGUCCGCACCCGGGAUCCGAACCAGCGAACCCCGGGCCACCGAGAAGCGGAACGUGCGAACACCGGGCCGGCCCCUCUCUUUUAAACUUGAGUGGCACAAGAAAGCAGCCACCAGUCUUUCUGGGGACGUGUCCUAUCCCUUCCAGCUACAUCAUCCACACCAGCAGAGAUCCGGAACCCUAUGCAGACGACCCCAGUCCAGGUCACAAGGUGACCAUCACAGAGAAGGGAAAUAUGUUACUUGUUGACAAUACACUGAGCUCACACUGAUGGACAUGCUUAAUCUUCACUCUCCUCCUCCAAGGCUAUAUUUCUCCUGGGGGAACAUGACAUCUUUAUUUUGACAAAAUGUCCUGAGUGGGAGGUGAAGACAGACUACAGCCCUCGAGCCACCAUUUAUUUGAAACUGCCAGCCUUUUUCCUCCAGAACCAAUGAUGCAGAAGUCUUCCAAAAUUUGAACAUCAUUGUGUUAUUUAAUAGCCAAAAAUCUUAUUUUUCUCCUGAUUUAUGCUUGAUAACCCUCUUGAAAUCAUUUAAGGAUAUGUACAAAAGAUAUACUUUUAUGUAGGAUCUAGUUUGAACUCAGAAAGUUAGCAAAAUAUAAAUGAAAUGGUAGAAAAAUGGCAAUAAUGCCACCAUAUUUUGGCUAAUAUGUUCCUAUGCUAAUUAACUGGACUGAAUGUGGAAAACAUACAGAGUUCAGUGAAAGAGGACAUCUGGCCAUCCCAUCUGAACUACUUAUUAGCUCUGUGACCUUGGCUAAGUCACUUAACUUCUCUGAAUCAGUUUCCUCAUCUAUAAAAUUGAAGACACUAAUACUGAGCUUACAGUAUUAUUUGAAUUACUACUUUUACAGUGUGAACCAUACACACAUCAUCUUGUCUGAACUUCUGUCAUGCUUUAGUCAUAUUACUUUUAUAAUUACUAGUGUUUCUAUAUGUAUCAUCUCUUAUUUAGGUGAAAAUAAUUUAAUUGCUUAAUAGUUUACAGAGGGAUUCACACACAUUAGAUCAAUUGAUCUUCACAGCAACCCUGGUAAAUAAGACAGGUAGAUAUUAUUCCAUUUUAGAAGCAAGGAAGUGAGAAGCAAAGAAUUCAAUAAUUUCCCUAAACUCACACAGCUAGAAUGUAGUAGAAGGCAAUGCAAACCCGGCAUUCUGAUUCUACUCUCAUUAAUAGAGCCAUGUUCCCAGGUCAAAUGCUCACUAAAGAGAAGGGUGUAGACUUUCACUAAGACAGGACUGGGACUUCACCCUUGAAUCCACUUCCCUUCCCAUCCCAACUCCCAGGGCCUAGCGCCAUCUUUUAUUCAUAGUGGGCUCUCCACACAUAUUUGCGGAACUCAUUCAUUCACUCAAUCAUUCAAUAUUUAUUGAAUGUCUAUAUGCUAGGCACUCUGCUAAGUGCUAAGAUACUACGAUGAGAAAUACAGACUUGACUGUGCCUACAAAGACUUAUAAUAAACGGAAGGAAGGAAGGAAGGAAAGAAGGGAGGAAAGAAAGAAGGAUGGAGAGAGGGAGGAGGGAGGGGAAGCAAACUGGGCAGAUAUUCUUAAUUUUUUAAUCUGGAUAAAAUACAAAAGUUAGGUCCAGCCCAGGUCAGUCUCCAUAGUGGUGCUCAGAAAGUUCUUGGCCCCAGCCCCAGAGUAAUAUUUUUAGCAAUACUGUAAAGAUUUCUUCAAGGUGGUUUGUCGCAGGCUUUCUGGAUUGCUGGGGAGGAAAUGUGAAGGUGUGUCCGACCCGGUUGCAGAAGGUACACAUAACGGAGUGCAUCGAAGUCAGGGGAAGCUUGCUAGCUUCAUUUUCUGAUACUUCUCCUCAUCUAGAUGAGAGAAGUGUUUAUUUAGGAGUGUUCUCCCUGCCCUUGGCUUAGAAACAAGCUAUAAAUUUUACUAAUCUCAAAGAAGACCAUUUUUUUGUGUGCUUUUUCUCUUUGGUAUAAACUCAUAGACACUUGCUCUGAAAAUCAGCCCUGAGUUAUGCAUCAAUGUUUCCAAUUACAUUCCAGUUACAUGAAGUUUAACAACUCUGAAUAAUGAUUUUAGGGGCGGGGCACAGUGAUUCCCAUCCAAGGGAAGGGAAAUAACAUUCAGCACCUACCUCACAGCCAGCUCCUGUACAGCUCUAUUUUGUCACUGUUUCAUCCUUCGUACAAGACACAGCAGCCCUCAGUAAACAAAGGAUGGUAGAGCAAUACUUAAUUUCCUUAAAUUAUCCAGAAUAUCAAUUAGGAAAUUGAUUUCCUACUUUUCGUGAAAGUAUUUACAAAUGAAUAAAAUUGUGAUGUGAGUUCUCCUUUAUGCAGAAGCCAUUUUAAAAAUUGCUGAAUUCUAAUCUUUUUACAAAAAUUUUCUGCUUUUCAGAUAAUAGGCAUUGACAAGAAUUCAUUUCUUCCUGGCACAUUCACCAUGGCGUACUUGUAAACAUAAUGUACAUAAUCAGUAGAUAGAAAAAUAGCAAAGUAUAUAUCUUCUAAGAAUUUAGUGCUUGAGUAGAAUGAAUGACUUAUUAACCCGUGUUAUAGAUAAUAACUCAUGCUGCGAUACUUUCUACUGAUGAUGUUUAAACCUACAGCAGUGACCAUAGGCAUGAAAAAUUGCCAGGCCAGUCUUGCAGUCCUUUGCAACGUCUAUUUCUAGAAAUAUUUUUUAGAAGUUGGGUAUUUCUAUUUUCUACUACAUCCUCUCAGAAAACAAGUUAUACUUGUCAAUACCGAAAACUAGUUACUCUUAUUAAUGUAAAUUGCGUGAUCACAUCCUUUGGUAAUUUUAAUAAAUAAAAGACAUAAUGGCAAACCAACACCAAAAGAUUUAUAGGUUAUAAUUCAUUCUGUUUCCUAAUUAGGUUUGUAAGAAUGAUCUACAAGAAGGAA
ensembl:lncRNA